AAAUGGACUCUCAGCAACGGAUAUCUUGGC
rnacentral:rRNA from 1 species